GUCUUAUUAAGUUAUUUAGUAGUAGAUGUGUUAGCAAUUUGAUAGUGAAGGUUCACAUUGGUCGAAACUAGUUCUUGUUUACUUGUGCAACUGCUUCCAGGUUAGAACUCUGUGAUGAAUUGUUUGCACAGUGUUGCUAAGAUAGUGACAUCAUUUUAUGUGCUUAGUUCUCAAUGUCUGCAGUCCAUGCUAAUGGCUUCUGGUUAUUGUUUCUUAACAUUUUGUAGAUUUGUGCAAAAAAAAUAAAAUGAUUCAUGAAAAAUAAAUAAGUAAAUAAAUUCUAUAGAUCAAAAACUUGACCAAAAAAGUUUUUUUUUAAUUUUUUUAUUUUAAUCAUAAAAUACCAUGAAUUUUAACAUGUUUUUAGUCUAGUACCCUGAAUGUAGAUUUUUUUAUUUCAAGUACUUUUAAAUGUAUGCCUACCCAGGUUAAGAAAAACUGGUAUUAUGUGCAUUUUUUGUUAAAAGCUUAUGGCAUCUUUACUUAAAUUUCUACAUGUGUACUUGUGUACAUUCAAACUUGAUUACAUCAGCACUUUGGUGUUGCCUUGAACUUGUGGAUUUGGUCUGACUAUAUGCAGCUCUCAGACUCAGUAUUUGAUCCAACAAAAAUUAACAAGAAAAUAAUGUGUGAAGUCAAUGAUGUGAUUUUAUAUAUAUGUAUGCAUAUUGCCCAAACUUGUUUCGCAUUUAUUUUGAUUUCUUGUUUGUAACAGUACUCAUAAGCCUAACAUUGGAGUGAGAUCAAAUGUUGAAAUGUUCAUGUUCAAUGUGUAAAAUACUUGGCCUAGGGGGAGCUACUGUAGACAUGUUUUUGGAAUGGCAGUGUGAGAUGUUCAUUUAGUCAACACUGCUGGACAGAUA